rnacentral:misc_RNA from 1 species
CGCACAUUGCGCCCUUUGGUAUUCCGAAGGGCAUGCCUGUUCGAGCGUCAUUAUCACCCCUCAAGCCCUCGGCUUGGUGUUGGACGGUUUGGUGGAGACCCCCCCUUCGCGGGCUUCUACCCCUCCCAAAGACAAUGACGGCGGCCUCGUUGGACCCCCGGUACACUGAGUUCUUCACGGGACACGUAUCGGAUUACAUGGGUUUGCGGGACACGGUCUGCCUCCCCUCAGGGAGAAUCUCUUUUAUCAAGGUUGACCUCGGAUCAGGUAGGGAUACCCGCUGAACUUAA